UGCUCGGAGCGGAGAAGUGUUGUUGUCGUCGUCAGAUUUAUUUGACGAUUCUUCCAUUAGUUCGGUCCAGAGCUGCCGUUACCCCUUCGAGGAGGCGCGCGCAAAAAGACCAGACUACCCCCGCGUCGAUCCGGCUCCAGCCCUUGGCGAGCGCGCGGCUCGGCUCUGGCCCUGGCGCGGGCGCAGCGGGCCACCGCCGGCGCUCCACCGCGGGCCUGCCUGCGACCCCCGCACCGCGUUCGCUCCCCUCACACGGGCCUCCCACCACUCCUGCGAUGGGGAUCCAGCUUUUUGACGGCGGCGGGGCUCGGCAUCGGCGCGCAGCGCAGCGCAGCAGGAGGCCCGGAGCGAGCGGCGCGCGGGACGCUAUCGCCUAUGCAGGUGCUGGGGCGCCUGUGAAAUCUGGCCAGUCGAGCUCUGCGCGGGACAAGCACAGCACUUGGAGCAUCACACGGAGUCUGAUCCUUUUGCUAAAUGCAAAGUGGAUCCAGGAAGCUCCGCCCCGAGGCACGCAACGGUGGCGCGGCCACGAGCCGCCGCGGGCGAGCUCCGUCCCGAGGCGCACAACGCGGGCGCCACCGAGAAGG